rfam:Gossypium hirsutum cultivar TM-1 unplaced genomic scaffold scaffold4699.1, whole genome shotgun sequence
UACUAAAAAUCUCAUCCAUUUGUAUUCUUAAAAAUUGACGUGGCUGAUAGAAUAACUAAACAGUGACAUGCGGUAUGUCACCUUAGGUUAAGGUACAGGGACCAGUUCUUAAUGGUAAAAAUGGAUGGAAUUUUUAGUA